UUUUUGUCCUUUGGCUGUAGUUAUCAGGAUUUUUUUCCCCGUAUGUUGAUGCUUUUAAACUGUUGUUUUGUAGAAUUUCUCAAUUAAACCUACGAUUCUUAUUUAAGUUUCUUCUGCUGCUAUUUUUAGUCCAGAUGCUUAUAUACUCAAUCAUCCAGCAAACGAAAGCUGGUGCAAUUUUGGAUGCCUGAUAAAUAUUGAAUUCUGCAUUUUUGCUAGCAGUAUACAGCGUGCCUGCAUUUGGUGUUCUCGCUGGCGUCUUUGAAAGCCAUGUAAAGUGAUCGUCUACAUUUGGAGUUCUCGCAUUUAUCUUUCCUUCUGUUUUCUGUUGUAUAUCACACCAGCUUGAUUUUGUUUGUCGAAUAUCUGGUAGGCUACAUGGUGACCAUAAUAAAGAAUAAGAUUUUGAAAAGGCAAUAUCCAGAUGCACUCUGGGCCUUGUUGCUUAUUUUUCUGGUACUCGUACUGUCAUGUGGCUCGUGUCAGUUUUGAGAAAAAGGGGGUUUCGGCAUCUCGUCUCUGGCGUUUCUAGCGAUCUCUUCGGUCGUAUGGGUUUUGCCCACUACGUAAUUACCGGGGCCCUUCUUUGGUACUUUCAGUCACCGGGUCAUAAAGCAGUAAGAGGAUACUUUCAGUUCUUAUUUUAAAGGGGCAGCGUCGCCCUUGGUCGUUGGUGAGGCAGGACUGCGAAUGUUGGUGGUCUAAAGGUGAAAUUUUUGAAGUAUAGUUGUGGAGUAGCAUUAUAUUUCUGGCUAUCAUGAUUCUUUUUUUGACCUUGCCGUGAACUUUGUCUAGUUUGUGUGGAGCAUUAGAAGUCGGAUUUGGUAGAUGAGCUGGAUAUCUCUUGUUUUAGCUUUGGCUUAUGCAUGCUUAGUUGGUCUCUUUGAUGAUUUGAUUUUGUUAUCUGUGGAUUGAUGUCUUGGAGUGUGAUAAGCUUGAGAUCUAGGAUUCGCCACAACAUUGGCUGGGAACAGAAAAGGACAGGGGUUCCAUGUCCUUAGUAUUGGAGCUUGGCUUAUAUGGAAGGAUGUGGAUGUUAUGUUUCCAAUAUCUGGGGAAUGCUUGGUGUAGAGGCUCUCAUAUCUCUAAUCUUUACUGAUUCAUUGAUGGUUUUCCGAUAAAUUGGCAGGGAUUAUCAGCGGCCGACAUCCCCUUGUAUCCAUAGGCUUUGUUUUGCUCUUGUGCUGACAUCGAAUGUGAUAGGGCUUUAAUCUACUACAUGGUCUUUUGCAUAUAAAUCUUUGCUUUUUGAAGGUGGUACUCAGAAUGAAAGGUAGAAUAUUAUGUCAAGGGCUGAUGGGGAACAUCACCCAACUCUGGCUAAAGCAUUUUAAUUAUGUUUGAACUUGACGUACUUCUCGGAGGCGUUGGCAGUUUCUUUUAGUAAUUUGCAUUUCUUGUGUAUAUACGUGUUACGUUACGGGUGAAGUAAUUUUUGGAUUGCUUAUUGUUUAUCAAUAGUCAGUUGAUAUUGUCAUCAAACAGUUCCCUGUAGACUCUCGGUAAUUGUCUAAUGCACAUCACAUAUAUUUCAGGGAAAUGGUAGUUGCACUAGAGGGAGGAGAGUAAAUGACUGGAGCUGUGGAGGAAGAUUAUGCUUUGGCAAUUAGUGUUCUGGCAGAGAUAUCUGUUUUGUUUUGCAGAGUAGUUCACGCUUUAUUUUUAUUCUGGUAUUUGAAGUAUUUGUUUUGCUGCAUGACAUACACAUAGGUAAACAAGCAUUAUGAGUGAGCUCAACAGUUCAUCUACUAAAAUUCUGCCUUUAUCCCAAAGUUUUUGCUCACUUGGCACAUUUGCUUAUGUGGAUGCUGCAUUUAUCGACUUCUGUUUUUGAUUUUUUUUUUUUUUUUUUUUUGGAAAUUAUCUGCUAUAACAUAUUGGACAAUUCUAUUAUCAUUGGAAACUAGAGGUUGUUUACCUGCUCUUUACUUGUCUAUGAUUGUGUUUUGAAUUGUCAGGUAUCAUCAGCAAUGCAACUACCGCUUUUCGAGCCAUUAAGAAUAAAUUUCUGCCUCAGUGUACAAUCUUCAAGUGUUUGUAGCUACUUUGGUCGUUUAGGAUGGUGCUGAGCAUGCAAGAUGGGAUGACAGUGGAAGGUGUGGGCAUGUAGUACCCCUAUUCAUUGAGAUUAUUCUGGUCAAGCUUCUUCUAUUGUCUUGACCUAUGUUUUCUGGCACUUCCAGAUCAGUUAGUGGGCUGCGUUUUCUAGCACUAUUAGUUUGUAAUUCCAUGAGGUGUUAAUACUAUUUGAUUCUUGCUUCUUAUGGGUUUCAUGCUUUCUGUUUAUUGUAUAGCGAUGUUCUAGCAUCAUUUAGGAUGAUGAGCUCAAUAAUAAUAUGCCUAGAUUGUUUAAGCAGGGUUUGGCUUCUGCUUUUCCUCUGUAUUGUUGUCCUGAGAGAUUGUAGCCUUGUUUACUCUUCAAGAUCUAUCUUGACGGACGUAUUGAUGAACUCCUUAUACUUGUACUAAAAGGGUGGAGACUUUCAUGGGUGUUUGGAUAGCAGUGAGUGGUAGAUUGUCUUAAAAGGGUGGAGAGGGUGGUGUCUCUUUUUGGGGCUUAGUCUAGAUGAUCUUGGGGAUCAUACUGUAGGAUUCUUUCUUCUCUCUUAGUGAAGAGAAUAUGUAUGAUGGUCCUUCAGUUGUGCCAUUCUACAACUUGAUG